CUGACCUCAAAUCAGGCAGGACUACCCGCUGAACUUAAGCAUAUCAU
rnacentral:rRNA from 1 species